UACGUAGGGUGCAAGCGUUGUCCGGAAUUAUUGGGCGUAAAGAGCUCGUAGGCGGUCUGUCGCGUCUGCUGUGAAAACCCGGGGCUCAACCCCGGGCCUGCAGCCGAUACGGGCAGACUAGAGUUCGGCAGGGGAGACUGGAAUUCCUGGUGUAGCGGUGAAAUGCGCAGAUAUCAGGAGGAACACCGGUGGCGAAGGCGGGUCUCUGGGCCGAUACUGACGCUCAGGGGCGAAAGCGUGGGGAGCAAACCGG
rnacentral:rRNA from 1 species